rnacentral:misc_RNA from 1 species
GAAAAUAGCCAGCCUGGCUGGUGAAUAAUUCUAUCCACCUUGUGUGCAAACAAUGGAAAAAAGGAGAGAAAAAUUAGAUAUUUUUGUAUCUAAUCUCUCUAAAAUUUUUACAAACUCAUCAAAUUUUGAAAUAAAAACUAUUUUUUUAAUAAAAUAUUAUA